AGUCUGGUGCCAGCAGCCGCGGUAAGACGGAGGAUGCAAGCGUUAUCCGGAAUUAUUGGGCGUAAAGCGUCCGUAGGUGGUUUUACAAGUCAGUUGUUAAAGCCCACAGCUCAACUGUGGAUGGGCAAUUGAAACUGUAAGACUUGAGUGUGGUAGGGGUAGAGGGAAUUCCUAGUGUAGCGGUGAAAUGCGUAGAUAUUAGGAAGAACACCAGUGGCGAAGGCGCUCUACUGGGCCAUAACUGACACUGAUGGACGAAAGCUAGGGGAGCGAAAGGGAUUAGAUACCCCUGUAGUCCUAGCUGUAAACGAUGGACACUAGGUGUUGGCCGUAUCGACCCGGUCAGUAUCGAAGCAAACGCGUUAAGUGUCCCGCCUGGGGAGUACGCACGCAAGUGUGAAACUCAAAGGAAUUGACGGGGGCCCGCACAAGCGGUGGAGUAUGUGGUUUAAUUCGAUGCAACGCGAAGAACCUUACCAGGGAUUGACAUCCUACGAACUUCUGAGAAAUCUGAGAGUGCCUUAGGGAACGCGGAGACAGGUGGUGCAUGGCCGUUC
rnacentral:rRNA from 1 species